UUUAAUGGUGUGAUUUAGUGGCUAAUCGGGUUCACCAGGUAACAGUAAUAGUUUGUUUUUAACUAAAUCAUCUUGACCUCACAUGCUAACGUUAUUUGACUCAGUGUAUCACGGUCAUGGUGUAGUUUGGAGAACUGUGAUAAUAUUUGAUGGUACCGUUUACUUGGCGUCAAUACGGGCUGAAGUGGAGAAGUUCACAGAUACUGGCUGACAAGAUUCCAGGAAAUAACUAUGUGAUGAAGGGGUCAGGCCUGACUAACAAAGAAGAUAGAUCAAGACAACCAAGAGGAUCAACAUGGCCUUUCCACAGAGGAGACAAAGGAAAACUAUAUAUAUAUAUAUAUAUAUAAGCAUGGGUUAUUGAAAGAUACCAGCGGG
rnacentral:lncRNA from 1 species